CUUCCUGCUCCGCGUUUUCUGGGAGAGGACUGGAAGGACAGGUUCCCUGCUUGCCCUUCCUACCUUCAGACUUGGCAUGUUCCAGAGCAGCCGGGAACUGGAACUGCAGGUCCAGCUCCGAGUCCCACAGCCUUGGGCUGUGACGUGCUGGGUGAGCACGGAACCGCUGGAGAACCGCACUGACUCCAAGAUCCCUGAGAGAAGGAACGAAAGAAGAAAUGUUUAUAAUUUAACCAGAGUUCGUUGCUGGUGAUCCUUCUGGCAUAUCAGAUAUCAGCGUAACUCGGCAAGUGUAAUACGGAGGAGAAACCCAAACAUCCUUCUGAGGAGGUAAUUAUUCAUCAUUGUGAAAAUGCUCCAGGAUAUUUUUAGUGGAGGACAAAACCCCUGUUUCCUGACAGAAACACCGAAUAAUAAAAUAACGAAGCAAGUUUCACAAUA